CAAAGUUUCAGUGCAUUCUGUUGAUGUAGACGGCGUGAAAACGAAAACAAGUAUGCCGUCUCACUGUGCUGCGUACAGUUACACACUACGUCGUACGACUGAGACAAGGAAACUUGGAAUGACUUUUCAUAGGUUUCCCAGAGACUAUGGGUUGAGGAGGAAUUGGAAGUUUGUCGGCUUAGACCUGGUGUCAUUCCAUCAGUGUUAAACUUCCCGGCUCAUCUUGGAAGAGUACGUGCCAGAAAGACCACGACCAAGCAGCCUUGAGAUCUUAGGCAGCGUCUCCCUCAGAUGUAGUGAGAGACAGACAGGAAACAGGGGAGAAGAAUCAGGGGAAG
ensembl:lncRNA